rnacentral:rRNA from 1 species
UAGAGUUUGAUCCUGGCUCAGAUUGAACGCUGGCGGCAGGCUUAACACAUGCAAGUCGAACGGUAACAGGAAGCAGCUUGCUGCUUUGCUGACGAGUGGCGGACGGGUGAGUAAUGUCUGGGAAACUGCCUGAUGGAGGGGGAUAACUACUGGAAACGGUAGCUAAUACCGCAUAACGUCGCAAGACCAAAGUGGGGGACCUUCGGGCCUCAUGCCAUCAGAUGUGCCCAGAUGGGAUUAGCUAGUAGGUGGGGUAAUGGCUCACCUAGGCGACGAUCCCUAGCUGGUCUGAGAGGAUGACCAGCCACACUGGAACUGAGACACGGUCCAGACUCCUACGGGAGGCAGCAGUGGGGAAUACUGCACAAUGGGCGCAAGCCUGAUGCAGCCAUGCCGCGUGUAUGAAGAAGGCCUUCGGGUUGUAAAGUACUUUCAGCGAGGAGGAAGGCAUUAAGGUUAAUAACCUUAGUGAUUGACGUUACUCGCAGAAGAAGCACCGGCUAACUCCGUGCCAGCAGCCGCGGUAAUACGGAGGGUGCAAGCGUUAAUCGGAAUUACUGGGCGUAAAGCGCACGCAGGCGGUCUGUUAAGUCAGAUGUGAAAUCCCCGGGCUCAACCUGGGAACUGCAUUUGAAACUGGCAGGCUUGAGUCUCGUAGAGGGGGGGUAGAAUUCUAGGUGUAGCGGUGAAAUGCGUAGAGAUCUGGGAGGAAUACCGGUGGCGAAGGCGGCCUCCUUGGACGAGACUGACGCUCAGUGCGAAAGCGUGGGGAGCAACAGGAUUA